rnacentral:rRNA from 1 species
UACGAAGGUGGCAAGCGUUGUUCGGAAUUAUUGGGCGUAAAGGGCGCGUAGGCGGACUCGUAAGUCGAUUGUGAAAUACCUGGGCUUAACCCGGGAACUGCAGUCGAAACUGCAAGUCUUGAAUGCUCGAGAGGAUGAUAGAAUUCCUGGUGUAGAGGUGAAAUUCGUAGAUAUCAGGAGGAAUACCGGAGGCGAAAGCGGUCAUCUGGCGAGACAUUGACGCUGAGGCGCGAAAGCGCGGGGAUCAAACAGG